rnacentral:tRNA from 1 species
GCCUUGGUAGCUCAGCCUGGUAGAGCGAACGCCUCGUAAGCGUUAGGUCGUGGGGUCGUACCCCAUCCAGGGCU